rnacentral:rRNA from 1 species
UACGGAGGGUGCAAGCGUUAUCCGGAUUUACUGGGUUUAAAGGGUGUGUAGGCGGGCUAUUAAGUCAGCGGUGAAAUCUCCGGGCCCAACCUGGAAACUGCCAUUGAUACUAUUAGUCUUGAAUUCUGUUGAGGUGGGCGGAAUAAAUCAUGUAGCGGUGAAAUGCAUAGAUAUGAUUUAGAACACCAAUUGCGAAGGCAGCUCGCUAAACAGAUAUUGACGCUGAGGCACGAAAGCGUGGGGAUCAAACAGG